CGCAUGAGCAAGAGGACAAUAAUUGUCCUCCCGUCAACACAGGGCACAACAGGCUUCCAAAAGGGACAAUUGAUUCGGGCAAAAAGGGACAAAGUCCCCGACCAAUCAUUGCUUCUACAUACAAGACUUCGGAGCAACACUUGGGCGUCCAAUGUCUGCUAACUAAAUAAGCAAAGCAAGGGUGGACGUCCAUGGGUGCUUCAGGGACUAGUUCGCACAAACAUUUUAGCACGAGUUAGAGCAGGGAUCGUGGGGCUGGAGAAUUCCAUCAAAAUAGGUAUGCUACACAGGGGGCCAAGCCAAUCCAAGGUAAAAGAUUUACACUUGAACAGAAUUGAACAGGUGUGAACCAGCGAUUGUCGCUGCCAGGGCAGGGAACCAACCAACCGGAACAUACC
rnacentral:misc_RNA from 1 species